UAUUAAGAAUUUCAUCCAUUUGUACAGUUAAAAAUCGACAUGGUUGACGAAAUAACAGAUAGUAACACAUGGUGUGUCACAUAUACCUCAUGCUGACGUACAAUGACUAAUUUUUAACGGUAGAAAUAGAUGAAAUUUUUAACA
rfam:Gossypium hirsutum cultivar TM-1 unplaced genomic scaffold scaffold613.1, whole genome shotgun sequence